rnacentral:rRNA from 1 species
AACGUAGGAGGCAAGCGUUAUCCGGAGUUACUGGGCGUAAAGCGCAUGUAGGCGGUUGGGCAAGUGGCGUGUGAAAGCUCCCGGCUAAACUGGGAGACGACAGGUCAGACUGCCGAACUGGAGUCCGAUAGAGGAGCGUAGAAUUCCGGGUGUAGCGGUGAAAUGUGUAGAUAUCUGGAGGAACACCGGUGGCGAAGGCGGCAUCCUGGACCGACAUUGACGCUGAGGCGCGAAAGCCAGGGGAGCAAACGGG